rnacentral:rRNA from 1 species
AAUCAACGCUGGCGGCGUGCCUAACACAUGCAAGUCGAACGAGAAAGUGGAGCAAUCCAUGAGUAAAGUGGCGACCGGGUGAGUAACACGUGACUAACCUACCUUCUAGUGGGGGAUAACCUCGGGAAACCGAGGCUAAUACCGCAUAACAUCGCAAGAUCAAAGCAGCAAUGCGCUGGAAGAGGGGGUCGCGGCUGAUUAGCUAGUUGGCGGGGUAACGGCCCACCAAGGCGAAGAUCGGUAGCCGGCCUGAGAGGGCGCACGGCCACACUGGAAC